GAUUAAGUUAUUAAGGGCGCACGGUGGAUGCCUUGGCACUAGAAGCCGAUGAAGGACGUUACUAACGACGAUAUGCUUUGGGGAGCUGUAAGUAAGCUUUGAUCCAGAGAUUUCCGAAUGGGGAAACCCAGCAUGAGUUAUGUCAUGUUAUCGAUAUGUGAAUACAUAGCAUAUCAGAAGGCACACCCGGAGAACUGAAACAUCUUAGUACCCGGAGGAAGAGAAAGAAAAUUCGAUUCCCUUAGUAGCGGCGAGCGAAACGGGAAGAGCCCAAACCAACAAGCUUGCUUGUUGGGGUUGUAGGACACUCUAUACGGAGUUACAAAGGACGACAUUAGACGAAUCAUCUGGAAAGAUGAAUCAAAGAAGGUAAUAAUCCUGUAGUCGAAAAUGUUGUCUCUCUUGAGUGGAUCCUGAGUACGACGGAGCACGUGAAAUUCCGUCGGAAUCUGGGAGGACCAUCUCCUAAGGCUAAAUACUCUCUAGUGACCGAUAGUGAACCAGUACCGUGAGGGAAAGGUGAAAAGCACCCCGGAAGGGGAGUGAAAUAGAACCUGAAACCGUGUGCUUACAAGUAGUCAGAGCCCGUUAAUGGGUGAUGGCGUGCCUUUUGUAGAAUGAACCGGCGAGUUACGAUUUGAUGCAAGGUUAAGCAGUAAAUGUGGAGCCGUAGCGAAAGCGAGUCUGAAUAGGGCGUUUAGUAUUUGGUCGUAGACCCGAAACCAGGUGAUCUACCCUUGGUCAGGUUGAAGUUCAGGUAACACUGAAUGGAGGACCGAACCGACUUACGUUGAAAAGUGAGCGGAUGAACUGAGGGUAGCGGAGAAAUUCCAAUCGAACCUGGAGAUAGCUGGUUCUCUCCGAAAUAGCUUUAGGGCUAGCCUCAAGUGAUGAUUAUUGGAGGUAGAGCACUGUUUGGACGA
rnacentral:rRNA from 1 species